AGAGCUCAAGCUUGAAAUUUGCCCCUUGUAAAAAGGGUGCCGAGUUGUAGCUUUUGGAGGCACUAUUGAGCGGCUAAUCUUGGUAAAAGUCCUUUUGAAUAAGGCAUCAGAGAGGGUGAAAAUCCCGUAUUUGACCAGGAGAAUAAAUUAGCAGCGAUAUCAAGUGUUUUCUUUGAGUCGGGUUGUUUGGGAAUGCAGCCCUAAUUAGGAGGUAAAUUUCUUCUAAAGCUAAAUAUCAGCAAGAGACCGAUAGCAUACAAGUACCGUGAGGGAAAGAUGAAAAGCACUUUGAAAAGAGAGUGAAAAGUACGUGAAAUUGUUGGAAGGGAACCGGUUGAUGACCAAGCUUUUUUGGCUUCCUUUCGGGGGAGUUGGAGGGUCAACAUCGGUUGUUUUAUGGCUAGAAGGGAUUUUGCGGGCUGACGGGGGAAAGGUAGUAAGCGAUCUGGGUAUUUUAUACCUAGGGCGUUUAUGUUAUAGACUCCCACAGGCUCGCUUCAAAAGCUCUAUAGUUGUAGCGACCGAGGAAUGCAGUGUGUUUUUAUCCUUCGGGAUUUAGGGCAGCUUGUAGGGAUGCAUUUUGUGGUGUUUUUAUCUGGGGCUAGACAGCUUUGCUGACUAGUUCUGAUGCGCCAUAUGUACGCCUUGCAAGGUGACCAAGAAGCACUUUGGAUGUUGGCGAAAAGGCAUCAAUCGACCCGUCUUGAAACACGGACCAAGGAGUCCAACAUGCAUGCGAGUAUUUGGGAAAAGAUAAACCCAUGUGCGUAAUGAAAGUGAAUUUUAUUUAGAAUGUGACCUGCUUUAUUGUGGGGCAACAUCAACCGACUUUAGAUAGCGCUGCUUGAAAAGGUUGAGUAAGAGCAUGUAUGCUGGGACCCGAAAGAUGGUGAACUAUGCCUGAAUAGGGUGAAGUCAGAGGAAACUCUGAUGGAAGCUCGUAGAGAUUCUGACGUGCAAAUCGAUCUCAAAAUUUGGGUAUAGGGGCGAAAGACUAAUCGAACCAUCUAGUAGCUGGUUCCUGCCGAAGUUUCCCUCAGGAUAGCAGAGACUGGAAUAUAAUUUAAAGCAGUUUUAUGAGGUAAAGCGAAUGAUUAGAGGCCUUGGGGAUGUAACAUCCUUAACCUAUUCUCAAACUUUAAAUGCGUAAGAAGCUCCAGUUACUUGAUUGAACUGGUGGCCAAUUUCGAAUGCAUCAGUCUCUAGUGGGCCAUUUUUGGUAAGCAGAACUGGCGAUGCGGGAUGAACCGAACGUAGAGUUAAGGUGCCUAAAUUCACGCUCAUGUAGACACCAUAAAAGGUGUUAGUUCAUCUAGACAGCAGGGCGGUGGCCAUGGAAGUCGGAAUCCGCUAAGGAGUGUGUAACAACUCACCUGCCGAAUGAACUAGCCCUGAAAAUGGAUGGCGCUCAAGCGUGAUACCGAUACUCUACCGCCAAAAUUAUAAGAACGUUUUGGCGAGUAGGCAGGCGUGGGGGUUUGUAGCGAAGCUGUGGGCGUAAGCUCCAGUGGAACAACCUCUAGU
rnacentral:rRNA from 1 species